rnacentral:rRNA from 1 species
CAGCAGCCGCGGUAAAACGGAGGGUGCAAGCGUUAAUCGGAAUUACUGGGCGUAAAGCGUGCGUAGGCGGUUUGUUAAGUCUGCUGUGAAAUCCCCGGGCUCAACCUGGGAAUGGCAGUGGAUACUGGCAAGCUAGAGUGUGUCAGAGGAUGGUGGAAUUCCCGGUGUAGCGGUGAAAUGCGUAGAGAUCGGGAGGAACAUCAGUGGCGAAGGCGGCCAUCUGGGACAACACUGACGCUGAGGCACGAAAGCGUGGGGAGCAAACAGGAUUAGAUACCCCAGUAGUCCCUGUCUCUUAUAC